AUAGUCAGUCAGGUUAUCAGUGAUGGUGUUAUAGUGAAGGUCAGGACAGUGACCAACCUCAAGGUCACUAAAAAUCAGUUGAACUUUAGUGGUCGUACAGGAGAGACGUGUUGCUCCUUCUGCCACCCCACCGGUUUUACCGCUUCCUCAUUCUUUUAAAACAUCUAAAUAACGUGUGGUAACUGAGGAUUGCUGUGCCUGGCUAUGUCUGCUGCAACACUGAUCAACACAGCAACUUUGACCAGUCUGAGGGGUGGAGACAACCACACUAGUAAAUGGUCUGACCCAUAACAUUUAAUGUUAUACCUGGAGUAUACCUGGAGAGGGUUACUCCAGGUAUGUGGAGAUACAGCAGCUGGAAACGUCGUCAGAGGUGGACGGGGCCCACUAAGCUGCUGUGUGGCGAAGUCCGUGUUGUGGGCAGCUGCUGUGUGGCGAAGUCCGUGUUGUGGGCAGCUGCUGUGUGGCGAAGUCCGUGUUGUGGGCAGCUGCUGUGUGGCGAAGUCCGUGUUGUGGGCAGCUGCUGUGUGGCGAAGUCCGUGUUGUGGGCAGCUGCUGUGUGGCGAAGUCCGUGUUGUGGGCAGCUGCUGUGUGGCGAAGUCCGUGUUGUGGGCAGCUGCUGUGUGGCGAAGUCCGUGUUGUGGGCAGCUGCUGUGUGGCGAAGUCCGUGUUGUGGGCAGCUGCUGUGUGGCGAAGUCCGUGUUGUGGGCAGCUGCUGUGUGGCGAAGU